rnacentral:rRNA from 1 species
UACAGAGGUCUCAAGCGUUGUUCGGAUUCAUUGGGCGUAAAGGGUGCGUAGGUGGCGGGGUCAGUCAGGUGUGAAAUCUCGGGGCUCAACCCCGAAACUGCACUUGAUACUGCCUUGCUCGAGUACUGGAGAGGAGAUUGGAAUUUACGGUGUAGCAGUGAAAUGCGUAGAUAUCGUAAGGAAGACCAGUGGCGAAGGCGAAUCUCUGGACAGUUACUGACACUGAGGCACGAAGGCCAGGGGAGCAAACGGG